rnacentral:rRNA from 1 species
CCUACGGGUGGCAGCAGUGAGGAAUAUUGGUCAAUGGACGAGAGUCUGAACCAGCCAAGUAGCGUGAAGGAUGACUGCCCUAUGGGUUGUAAACUUCUUUUAUAAAGGAAUAAAACGAGGCACGUGUGCCUUUUUGUAUGUACUUUAUGAAUAAGGAUCGGCUAACUCCGUGCCAGCAGCCGCGGUAAUACGGAGGAUCCGAGCGUUAUCCGGAUUUAUUGGGUUUAAAGGGCGCGUAGAUGGGUUGUUAAGUCAGUUGUGAAAGUUUGCGGCUCAACCGUAAAAUUGCAAUUGAGACUGGCAGUCUUGAGUACAGUAGAGGUAGGCGGAAUUCGUGGUGUAGCGGUGAAAUGCUUAGAUAUCACGAAGAACCCCGAUUGCGAAGGCAGCUUACUAAACUGUAACUGACAUUGAUGCUCGAAAGUGUGGGUAUCAAACAGGAUUAGAUACCCCUGUAGUC